ACUCUCUAGUUUCUUUCCCCAUCAGAUCUGAACACUGGUCUGAGUGGUUAUUAAAGUAAGAAAGGUAACACGGCUACGGAUUUCAGUGCUUUUGUAGUACAUGGGCUCGUUUCAAACAAUU
rnacentral:snoRNA from 1 species